GCCUUUGUGGAGCAAUGGAGCUCACCCUGUCUUUGUUACAGCAUGAAAUUGGUACUUUAACAGGUGGAUGGUGGUUCGAUCCCACCCAAAGGCA